rnacentral:lncRNA from 1 species
AGUCCCUAGGGCGGGUUGCCUGCCCUGGCUGAACUGGAUUAAAUCUGUGCUCUAGUGGGUGUGGCAGAACCCUGGGCUAACAGCCCAAGGGAUGCACCUCAAUGGCCCCCACCUGUGUCUGUAUCAGCAUGCCUGGACCAGCUCAGAGCAACGGCCCCCACCAAUGUCUCAGUCUCCGGAGAGGAUCCUCCUCUCACCAAGAUGCCCCCAGAGCCCACUAGGUAUCCCUCUUCUAAGAUAUCUCAACUCCUUGAGAUAGCUGAUCUUUGCUACCACCUCUCAACAAAUUGUUCAACUGGUUUUACAAGAGCAUCAGCAAGAGUCCUCCAGACACUAUUUUUUUAGACCCGUUUUGACUCCUCAGGAUGUUUCUGAUCACCUCUGAAUUGUUCAGGAACCAAUGAUAUUUACCUUGAAUAAAAGAAGAGACUGACUAUUUGAACUUUAUCAGAACCCACUACUACAAAAACGCAGGGAGUUUUGAGACCUCUUCCCAACCCCCUUCACCACACACAUAUUUUUGUGUUCCAGGAAAUUCCUACAGGCUCAUCAACUAACCAGCUAACUGCAAGGAUUAUCCUGCCCUGGAAUAUUACCAGGAAGGUCCACCUCCACCCUUCCUCAAUAAUUCAGAGAAGACCUGUCUCCAGGUUUCCUCAAGAUUCCUUUGUAUAUUUGUCUCUAUAAAUCCUCAGUCCCCUUUCCUUUUCUUUGAGUUGCUUCUUAUUAAUGAACAUUAUCCUCAUUGUGACAGCCUGAAUAAAAUCAUCUCCUUAAAUUUCCAGUUCAUUGUGUAUAAUUUAUGGUCAGAAGGCCAAAGUGAAAAUCUAGUUCUAUAUUCUGUUAACGUGAUCUGAGAUUGCAUCAAGUACCAGAGCCAAAAAUGUCACCUCAAAUGAAUUGUUUUGUUCUAGAACUCACUUGUUAUAUAAUCCCACCAGGAAAAUGUUCUCUUCUUCAAAUAUAACAUUUUAUAAUACUGACAAA